rnacentral:rRNA from 1 species
GUUGACCUCGGAUCAGGUAGGGAUACCCGCUGAACUUAAGCAUAUCAAUAAGCGGAGGAAAAGAAACCAACAGGGAUUGCCCUAGUAACGGCGAGUGAAGCGGCAACAGCUCAAAUUUGAAAUCUGGCGCAAGCCCGAGUUGUAAUUUGCAGAGGAUGCUUCGGGGCGGCGGCCGUUCUAAGUCCCUUGGAACAGGGCGUCAUAGAGGGUGAGAAUCCCGUAUGUGACCGGCGCGCACCCCACACGUAGCUCCUUCGACGAGUCGAGUUGUUUGGGAAUGCAGCUCUAAAUGGGAGGUAAAUUCCUUCUAAAGCUAAAUACCGGCCAGAGACCGAUAGCGCACAAGUAGAGUGAUCGAAAGAUGAAAAGCACUUUGGAAAGAGAGUUAAAAAGCACGUGAAAUUGUUGAAAGGGAAGCGCUUGCAACCAGACUUCGCGGCGGUGUUCCGCCGGUCUUCUGACCGGCCUACUCGCCGCCGCGAGGCCAACAUCGUCUGGGGCCGCCGGAUAAGACCGCGGGAAUGUGGCUCCCUCGGGAGUGUUAUAGCCCUCGGUGAUGCGGCGCGUCCCGGGCGAGGUCCGCGCUUCGGCAAGGAUGUUGGCGUAAUGGUUGCCAGCGGCCCGUCUUGAAACACGGACCAAGGAGUCUAACAUCUAUGCGAGUGUUCGGGUGUCAAACCCCUACGCGUAAUGAAAGUGAACGGAGGUGGGAGCUUCGGCGCACCAUCGACCGAUCCUGAUGUCCUCGGAUGGAUUUGAGUAAGAGCAUAGCUGUUGGGACCCGAAAGAUGGUGAACUAUGCCUGAAUAGGGUGAAGCCAGAGGAAACUCUGGUGGAGGCUCGCAGCGGUUCUGA